CUUUAUACUUUUUUGUGGAAGGGGUGUGUCAUCAUUUUGUAACUUUGAUUUUGUUUUGACAGACUGUGCAAAGGAUUACAGAAGCAACAUAGGAUGUUGAGAACAUCACCACUGAGUUGUCUCUAGAGGAAGACACAGUCCAGCAAUGGGUGUCAGAUGUUCAGCAGUGGACGGCAGGAGCAACCAGUCAAAAUGACUUGCAGAAGACCAUUGAAGGACUGUAUCUGAGCAUUAAGCAGCUUUAUCGUCAGACUGAUGGCAAUAAGCAGAGACAUCAACUCAGGAAAAAGAUAGCUGUAGAAAAGAAAGCCUUGGAGGAUGCCAUUGCUCAAUACAAUGCUGUUGUGGAGGAAGCCGACAAACUCCCUCCUCCUAACAAACUCUUGGCUAAUGACAACUAUUCCUGGCAAUGUCAAACAGCAUUGGGAGUACUUGAGGAGUAUGGUGGGAGAGCUUUCCUCCCAGCUUUCUGAGGCCAUC